rnacentral:rRNA from 1 species
AUUGAACGCUGGCGGCAUGCUUUACACAUGCAAGUCGAACGAGUGGCGAACGGGGGAGUAAUAUAUCGGAACUUACCGAGUAAUGGGGGACAACCAAUCGAAAGAUUGGCUAAUACCACAUAUUCUUCGAUCGGCCGAUAACUGAUUAGCUAGUUGGUGGGGUAAAGGCCUACCAAGGCGACGAUCAGUAGCGGGUCUGAGAGGACGAUCCGCCACACUGGGACUGAGACACGGCCCAGAGUCCUACGGGAGGCGGAAGUGGGGAAUUUGGGACAAUGGGGGCAACCCUGAUCCAGCCAUGCCGCGUGUAUGAAGAAGGCCUUCGGGUUGUAAAGUACUUUUGUUAGGGAAGCGGUACCUAAAGAAUAAGCACAGGCUAACUACGUGCCAGCAGCCGCGGUAAUUC